GGCCGCGAAUUCACUAGUGAUUACUCCUACGGGAGGCAGCAGUGGGGAAUAUUGGACAAUGGGGGGAACCCUGAUCCAGCCAUGCCGCGUGUGUGAAGAAGGCCUUAUGGUUGUAAAGCACUUUAAGCGAGGAGGAGGCUACUGAGACUAAUACUCUUGGAUAGUGGACGUUACUCGCAGAAUAAGCACCGGCUAACUCUGUGCCAGCAGCCGCAGUAAUACAGAGGGUGCGAGCGUUAAUCGGAUUUACUGGGCGUAAAGCGUGCGUAGGCGGCUUUUUAAGUCGGAUGUGAAAUCCCCGAGCUUAACUUGGGAAUUGCAUUCGAUACUGGGAAGCUAGAGUAUGGGAGAGGAUGGUAGAAUUCCAGGUGUAGCGGUGAAAUGCGUAGAAAUCUGGAGGAAUACCGAUGGCGAAGGCAGCCAUCUGGCCUAAUACUGACGCUGAGGUACGAAAGCAUGGGGAGCAAACAGGAUUAGAUACCCUGGUAGUCCAUGCCGUAAACGAUGUCUACUAGCCGUUGGGGCCUUUGGGGCUUUAGUGGCGCAGCUAACGCGAUAAGUAGACCGCCUGGGGAGUACGGUCGCAAGACUAAAACUCAAAUGAAUUGACGGGGGCCCCCACAAGCGGUGGAGCAUGUGGA
rnacentral:rRNA from 1 species